rnacentral:rRNA from 1 species
ACGAACGCUGGCGGCUGCUUUACACAUGCAAGUCGAACGGAGUGGCGAACGGGUGAGUAACGCGUGAGCAACCUGCCUAUGACAGUGGGAUAGCCUCGGUAAACCGGGAUUAAUACCGCAUAGUCUUAGAUGGGCUCGCGUCUGAUUAGCUAGUUGGUGAGAUAACAGCCCACCAAGGCGACGAUCAGUAGCCGGUGUGAGAGGCUGAACCGCCACUCUGGAGCUGAGACACGGUCCAGACUCCUACGGGAGGCAGCAGUGGGGAAUCUAGCCCAAUGGGGGAAACCCUGAUGCAGCGACGCCGGGUGAACGAAGAAGGUAUUCGUAUCGUAAAGUUCUGUCCUAUGGGAAGCAGUACCAUAGAAAAAAGCUCCGGCUAAUUACGUGCCAGCCGCCGCGGUAAUAC